AGGACGAACGCUGGCGGCGUGCUUAACACAUGCAAGUCGAGCGGAAAGGCCCUUUCGGGGGUACUCGAGCGGCGAACGGGUGAGUAACACGUGAGUAACCUGCCCUGGACUUUGGGAUAACCCUCGGAAACGGGGGCUAAUACCGGAUAUGACUUUCCCUGCAUGGGGAUUGGUGGAAAGUUUUUCGGUCUGGGAUGGGCUCGCGGCCUAUCAGCUUGUUGGUGAGGUAAUGGCCUACCAAGGCGACGACGGGUAG
rnacentral:rRNA from 1 species